GACGAACGCUGGCGGCGUGCUUAACACAUGCAAGUCGAACGGAAAGGCCCUGCUUUUGUGGGGUGCUCGAGUGGCGAACGGGUGAGUAACACGUGAGUAACCUGCCCUUGACUUUGGGAUAACUUCAGGAAACUGGGGCUAAUACCGGAUAGGAGCUCCUGCUGCAUGGUGGGGGUUGGAAAGUUUCGGCGGUUGGGGAUGGACUCGCGGCUUAUCAGCUUGUUGGUGGGGUAGUGGCUUACCAAGGCUUUGACGGGUAGCCGGCCUGAGGGGGUGACCGGCCACAUUGGGACUGAGAUACGGCGCAGAGUCCUAGGGGAGGAAGCAGGGGGGAAGAGUGCACAAGGGGCGGAAGCCUGAUGCAGCAACGCCGCGUGCGGGAUGACGGCCUUCGGGGUGUAAACCGCUUUCGCGUGUGACGAAGCGUGAGUGACGGUAAGGGGUAAAGAAGCACCGGCUAACUACG
rnacentral:rRNA from 1 species